UAGGGCGGUUAUAUUAUGGCGGUUGGACAGAACCGCCGCAAAAUAAAGCAUAUUACGGCAUUUUUUUAGACGCCAUAUUAAUAAUUUCAAUAACAGCGGUUGUGCUCUAAGUUGCGGCGGCUCAAAUCGCCACUAUUGUAUUUCAAUUAUAUUUAUUAUUUUCCAUCUCCACAUAUUUCCCGCGACUAAUCCCGCUUUCCCCUAAUUCCUUCUUUCCCGUAAAUCCUUCAUUUCUCUCUUUCCCUUAAUCAAUCUCUUAAAAGAUAUUCUUCUCCACAAAUUUUGAAGUUCAGUGAAAGAGAAUACGAGCAGAAAAGAUUUCUUCUCCAUGGAACUCGUACAGGACAAGCAGCUUUUGGUAGCUGAAGGAUAAAAAACAGUUGCGGAAGCUAUUGGUAUCGACAUCGCCACUAAACCAUUUGAUAUGAGUAGCUCUUAUUAGUCUAAAUUUGUCCUUUCGUUUGAGUAGUUUUUCUUUUUUAAGUGCAAAUUAGUCCCUUUUUAGUGUUGAAUUACCUCUUAUCAGUGUAAAAUAAGAGUUUCCUAUUGAAUUAUAUUUAGGAGCCAAUGAGUCAUUUGGUUUCAUGUGCAAGAGAGCAUUGUGUAUGUAUAGUUUAUUUGAAAAAUGAGAGAACAGUACAUGGUGUUGGUGAAACAAGUUCGAGUUGUUUAGAGGGUUUUGGUUAAAUUACCAAUCAUAUAUUUGAACUUUCCGUGAAAUUGAUUACCGAACAGAUAUAUAACUGACUUGUGAAUUGUGAUUACCCUGUAUAAACAGUGGUCUAUGUAUUCUAAUUUUAUCUAUUGGUUUUGAAAAUAAUCUUUUUCGCUAUUUCAUUCAACUUAUUGUCUGCUAGCUUUUUACUGCCUAACUUAUUGUCUACUAGUUUUUUACUGCCUGUACUUUUUUCAUCAUGUAUGUAGAGAUGCCGAAGCAAAAUCAGGUUAAAAUCUAUUUAAAUCAGCCAUAGGGAGCUCUUCACUUGCUCCAGAGGAAUCAUCUCACGCUCAGUCUCAGGCACAAGCUUCAUCUUCUUCAUCUGAUCGAGCAUGUUAUUCCAUCUUCAUUCAUCAUCUGAUGGAGUCGCCUCUUCACUGCCUGUCAUUCCAUCUACAUCACCUGAUGAAGUGGUCUCUUCACGGCGUGUUAGAUGUAGACGAGUUUCUAACAAAGGAGUUACAUAUGACUCGGAGCCUCGUUAUUGGUUUGUCAUUGUUAUAGCCUCGAUUUUUCUUUAGGAUUGAUCCGCAGAGGGUAAAAAAAUAGAUUGAUAAUUCUCUUAACAAAAAAUGGAAGGAAUUCAGGCUUAAACUAUGGCGUGAGGCUGAUGAUCUAUUAUUGAGUAGAGAAGAUAUCAUCAAGAAUUCUCCAGAAGGAAUUCCCAUGGACCAAUGCGUACUGAAUGUUAACUACCGUUUGAAACCCGAAACAAAGGUACUUCUUCCUCCUCCUCAUCUUCUGCUUCUGCUUCUAUCUUUUUUCCUUCUUUGUUGUUUUGAUUAAUUAAAGCAGAAGUGCAACUUGACAUUAUUUUAGAUGUUAAUGUUUCAAAGCUGCUGAACUGUAACUAGCUUUGAAUAUUUAAUCUCCACAGUUCGGUUUCCUGUUGAACCUGUAUGUUCUUUCGGAGAAUUUUAGACUAUUGAAGGUUGAUAGGUUGGUGUACCCUGAAUGUUGUUUCCUUCAGUUUGUCUAUAAGAAGGUUAACUUUGGGGUUUUGCUGAUCAGAGAAUGUUUUGCUGAAGCUUUGGGGUGAUUUUGCGGCUAUUUGCGGUUGGCUUUUCAGUUAUUUUGGUGCUGGGUUUCAAAGGUAUUUUGAUGGACUUAUGGAGGUGUUUCCAGGCUGUUUUGAGGUGGAGUUGGCAGCACUUUUUAGCUGCUGUUUCGGAUCUUUUUGAGGCUGUUUUGGCCCCCCUUUUUAACUGGUUUUUGGUGAGUUAUGGCUGGGAUUGUGCUGGUGGUUUUUGGUGAGUUUGGGGCUACUUUUUAGCUCAUUGUUGGAGCUGUUUCGAGGUCGUUUUUGGUGCUUUAAUGGUGUUGAUUUCACAGGUUGUUUUGCUGCGUGUUUUGGGGUGAUUUCGGAUAUUUAACGGCUGGUAUUAUGGGUGUUUAAUGGAGAAAAAUGGUAAAGAAAAUGGAGUAUUGUUAAUGAGAGCAAAAGGGACCUUUUUGGUAGUUUUGGGCUGAUUUUGGCAGCUAUUUUCUGGUGGUCUAAGACAUACAAUUUAGGAAGUGGCGCUCCUUCACCAAUUGGGCAAAGAAGAUCCUUCGAUGGAAGUAGAUAGAGCGAAUUGACAAUUAGUAAUCGUUUAGGAUCAACUUUAUUUUUUGGUAUUCUUGCUGAAUAACUUUGAAAGUAACAAUCUGGAUGAUGUAUUUUUGAGUACCUAUAUUUUAUACGAUGAAUAUUUUGUUUAUUUGAUUUUUUA